AUUAUUUGGGUUUAAAAGGGGGGGUUAGGCGGCCAAUUAAGUUCAGCGGGGAAAAUUUGCCAGCUUUAACUGUACCAGUGCCGUUGAUACUGUUUGGCUAGGAUUUGGUUGUAGUGUGCGGAAUGUGUGGUGUAGCGGUGAAAUGCUUAGAUAUCACACAGAACACCGAUUGCGAAGGCAGCACACUAAGUCAUUAUUGACGCUGAGGCACGAAAGUGUGGGGAUCAAACAGGAUUAGAUACCCUGGUAGUCCACACUGUAAACGAUGAUAACUCGCUGUCGGCGAUACACAGUCGGUGGCCAAGCGAAAGCAUUAAGUUAUCCACCUGGGGAGUACGACCGCAAGGUUGAAACUCAAAGGAAUUGACGGGGGCCCGCACAAGCGGAGGAACAUGUGGUUUAAUUCGAUGAUACGCGAGGAACCUUACCCGGGCUCGAACGGUGCAUGAAUAUACGAGAGAUUGUAUAGUCCUUCGGGACAUGUAUCGAGGUGCUGCAUGGUUGUCGUCAGCUCGUGCCGUGAGGUGUCGGCUUAAGUGCCAUAACGAGCGCAACCCUUGUCAUUAGUUGCCAUCAGGUCAAGCUGGGGACUUUAAUGAGACUGCCACCGUAAGGUGUGAGGAAGGGGGGGAUGACGUCAAAUCAGCACGGCCCUUAUGUCCGGGGCGACACACGUGUUACAAUGGGAGGUACAGAGGGCAGCUAUCCGGUGACGGAAUGCUAAUCUCCAAAACCUUUCUCAGUUCGGAUUGGAGUCUGCAACUCGACUCCAUGAAGGUGGAUUCGCUAGUAAUCGCGCAUCAGCCAUGGCGCGGUGAAUACGUUCCCGGGCCUUGUACUCACCGCCCGUCAAG
rnacentral:rRNA from 1 species